UACGUAGGGUGCAAGCGUUGUCCGGAAUUAUUGGGCGUAAAGAGCUCGUAGGCGGUUUGUCGCGUCGGCUGUGAAAACUCGGGGCUCAACCCCGAGCCUGCAGUCGAUACGGGCAGACUAGAGUGCUGUAGGGGAGACUGGAAUUCCUGGUGUAGCGGUGAAAUGCGCAGAUAUCAGGAGGAACACCGGUGGCGAAGGCGGGUCUCUGGGCCGAUAUUGACGCUGAGGAGCGAAAGCGUGGGGAGCAAACAGG
rnacentral:rRNA from 1 species